rnacentral:tRNA from 1 species
CAGGGAGACACAAAAUGUUUUAAUAUUAUUAUUUUUCACCUUAGGUCGAUCGGUAUCUCACGUUCUUUAAUUUGUUAAGAAUUUCAUUUCCUAAGUUUUUCUAGGUACACCAUUAUUUUUCCUGGCAUUCUCGGUGUUAGAGCGCACCCCUGAUAAGGGUGAGGUCCCUGGUUCAAGUCCAGGAUGGCCCAUAUCUCUAUGUUGGGGGUAUAGCUCAGUUGGUAGAGCGCCUGCUUUGCAAGCAGGAUGUCAGCGGUUCGAGUCCGCUUACCUCCACUGAUUACCACCUCUUCCAUAACUGGUAGAAAGGAAAUGUUUUGAGUUGUGAUCAUUAUUCUGAACGAAUCUAGCUUCCUAAUGAAAUCAUUAAGAUGCUGGACUCAUUGAAUUAAUUUCAUUGUUUUCAGAGAACCUUGACAACUGCAUAGAUUUUUUUAAAGACAAUAAGCAUCUUUAAUGAUGCAGAUUUUUUAUUUGUGCGAAUGCAUUAAUAACAAUUCUAUUAAGCUGAUGCUUCAA